rnacentral:rRNA from 1 species
UACGUAGGUGGCAAGCGUUGUCCGGAAUUAUUGGGCGUAAAGCGCGCGCAGGCGGCCUCUUAAGUCUGAUGUGAAAUCUUGCGGCUCAACCGCAAGCGGCCAUUGGAAACUGGGAGGCUUGAGUACAGAAGAGGAGAGUGGAAUUCCACGUGUAGCGGUGAAAUGCGUAGAUAUGUGGAGGAACACCAGUGGCGAAGGCGGGUCUCUGGGCAGUAACUGACGCUGAGGAGCGAAAGCGUGGGGAGCAAACAGG